GCAGUCGCCACGGUAAUACGUAGGGUGCAAGCGUUAAUCGGAAUUACUGGGCGUAAAGCGUGCGCAGGCGGUUAUAUAAGACAGAUGUGAAAUCCCCGGGCUCAACCUGGGAACUGCAUUUGUGACUGUAUAGCUAGAGUACGGCAGAGGGGGAUGGAAUUCCGCGUGUAGCAGUGAAAUGCGUAGAUAUGCGGAGGAACACCGAUGGCGAAGGCAAUCCCCUGGGCCUGUACUGACGCUCAUGCACGAAAGCGUGGGGAGCAAACAGGAUUAGAUACCCGGGUAGUCCCUGUCUCUUAUAC
rnacentral:rRNA from 1 species